rnacentral:rRNA from 1 species
GAUGAACGCUGGCGGCGUGCCUAAUACAUGCAAGUCGAGCGAACAGACGAGGAGCUUGCUCCUCUGACGUUAGCGGCGGACGGGUGAGUAACACGUGGAUAACCUACCUAUCAGACUGGGAUAACUUCGGGAAACCGGAGCUAAUACCGGAUAAUAUAUUGAACCGCAUGGUUCAAUAGUGAAAGACGGUUUUGCUGUCACUUAUAGAUGGAUCCCCGCCGCAUUAGCUAGUUGGUAAGGUAACGGCUUACCAAGGCAACGAUGCGUAGCCGGCGUGAGAGGAGGAUCGGCAACACUGGAAAUGGGACGCGGACCAGACUCCAAAGGGAGGAAGCAGUAGUGAAUCGUGCGCAAUGGGGGAGAGUAUUACGGAGCAACGCUAAGUGAGUGACGAAGGUCUUGGGGUCGGAAAACACUCUUAUGGGGGAAUAACAAAUCUGUAAGUUAUUAUGCAGAUCUUGACGGUACCAAAUCAGAAAGCCACGGCUAACUACGUG